UCUGUCUGGAAGCUGUACCGUCAUUUCGAAACGUUUUCUCCCGGGUUUCACGGAACGGAAUAUCCCGAGGCGGAAGGGACCCGCAGAGAUCACCGAGCCCAACCCCUGGCCCCACACGGACCACCUAAAAUUCAAACCCUGUAUCUUUUAGCAAUGUCCAAACGUUCCUUGAACUCCUUUGCGGUACCCACCGCCCUCUGGUCUGGUGAGGAGCCUUUCCCUAACUCCCAACCUGUCCCUCCCCGGACAGCUCCAUGCCAGGGAGAUGAGAAAGUUGAUGAGACAAAGAGGGGGAGAAAUCAUACCAAUUGCCAUCACAAUCAAAGUAAACUUGACUUAGUGAAAGCUUUAGAGCUUUUUUAUGUAAAAUAGAGGAUGUGUCUUCUGCUGUAGGAGCAGAAUAUAAGAGGAGAUGCCCUGGAAAAGGAGCAGGGAAAUGUUCUUGCCUGAGCUCAGGGCGCUCAGGCCAGCAGAUCCACAGGCCAGAAGUGGCUGUUAAGGCAAGGGGUGACAGAUGUCCUUUUGGUGGUGGCUCUGUCACCAAAACUUGUGCUCAGCAGGUUUGUUGCCUGCCCUGAGCUUUGAGUGCUACAGCCAUCUGCGUGCACCAGCGAUACUGACAGCAACAUCAGUCUCUGUGGUCUUUUGGUAAGCAGGUUCCCCUUCUGUACAUCUGCUUAAAAAUCCAUUGUCACUUUUAGACAGAAGAAAUAAUAGUAUUUGAUGCCUUUUUUGUGAAAAGCUGAAACACCACCAUCUACAUAAAAACUAAAAGUACAUAACCAGAAAGUUGCUGCCUCACAUCAAUAGAUUUUCUGUCAUAACAGAGGACUUCAUAGUCCUCGUGUAUAGAGACCACUUCACUAUGCUGAGAAACAGCUGGCUCUGCAAUGGAAAUACCCCAUCAUUGAUGUCAGUACCGUUUCAAAAGGUUUUUAAAUGCAAGAGGAGAAAGUAACUCCUGCAUUUGCUGUAAUGUAAGUUAGAGCUAGGAUUUUCCACACUAUCAUGACCAAUAUUCUUGCCUUGUGAAAUCAUCAGUCCCACAAGAAGUCAGGGUUUUAUAUGGCUACAGCAGAUUGGGACAUGCCUUAGGUUUUAUGUCCAAACCUCCAGGCUGUUCCCUGACACCAAAACACCAGGAUAUUUCUUCCAGACCAAUUUAAUAUGACUUAUGAGCACAUGACUUCUUCAGAAAUUGCAAAUGCCCAGCACAGUUCUUCAUUCUCCAUUCAUAUGCCAGGCAGACUCAACCUUCUUGGCCUGUGAGAUUUGAUACGAUCAUAGCCUGAAGAGUAGUUUAAUGUAAGAUUGCAAUAACACUGUAGUCACUACCAAACAUUAUUAUACUUACUUUAAUUUCAACAAACUGCCGUAAUUAGUGACUUCCCUCCUGGGGAUGUUAUGAAAUACACCUAAUUACACUGUAAUACGGAGCUUUCUGAUCCCCAGCUAGCAGUUUCUAAGUAACUGAAAAAUAAGACAUUUUCAUUGUAGAGGUUACGUCAUAAAAGAUUUGGUGCAACAGCUUGGCAUACCUAUGCCUUUUGUGCUGGCUUUUGUCCCUGCACAGCUUUGCAGUGCAGAGAUCCCAACUUCCUCCUCUUCUUUUUUCUGACACUCCCAUGCGUCACCUCAAGGUGCAGGGAGGGAGCUUAUUCUCAGCAAACACUGGAACCUGGAAGCUUGCCCAGGCCCUAAACAGGUAGUGAAGGAAGCAAAAGCUCACAGCAUGCACAUCUGCACUCCCCAUAACACCGGGCAGAGUCUGGCUCUCUGUGCUGCUGGCAGCUCACCGCAAUGCGCAUAGACAAACUUGCACAAUCUCAUUGUGUUCUGUGUGCAUGUCUUAAAGCUCUUGGAAUUGUAUCAUUGUGAAAAAUCUGCAGAAUGUCUUGUUUAAAACUGGUUUUUAAUCCUGCUGGUUAUAGAGAAGUUGAAAACUACCUGAAAACUUCCUAGUUAAGAUUAGAUUCACCCAUACUCAUGUGAAAUUGUGAAUUAAGUGUGAGACAAAUAGCACAUGAUAGUGGCAAUUCCUUAUGUUGUAUUCACCAUAAAGGAAGAGAAGGAUGCUUUACUGCUGGGCUCACUCUCUGAGGCUGAGCUUUGAUGCAUGUUUAUGGCAGAAGCAUUCCCAGAAAAGAUCCCUUACCUCCAGCUGCUUAUCUGAGUCCCCAACCACCUAUACACAUUUGUACAGAUGUGUGGCAAACUGCACUAUGUAAUAGCUGAACGUGAAAAGCAAUCAUUUCAAUCAGACAUCUGUGCAUUUGAGUCUAAACAGACACUUUUUUUUUAAACAGAAGCAGAUGAUAAAUACAAUGAAUAAUCUCAUACAGCAACCGUCACACAUUCUGCGAUCAUGCUGGCCUUUUUUUGGCCCCUUUUGCAGAUUUUCUAAUGCCAGAUACUCUUGCCAGAAUGAAUGCCAACAGAAGUUGGUUUGGACUUGAGACCAAGUUGGACAAAUAAUAUGGCUAAUUUUGCAAAAAAGUGUAUUAGAGUCUAUUUUGCAUUGUUACUGCUGAAUUUGGGCCAACUUCUUCCUUUUUUUUUUUUCCUCUCCAAGAAAUACGUUUGAAAAGCAUCUUUUUUUCCAGCUUCUCUCUACAUAUAGAAUUCAACUCUUGUCAUUGGCAGCUUUGUUCAAUCACAACGCCAUUGAACAACAAGGGCGUGUCCUUUUCAUAGCUGUCUUCAGCUAAGAGUCUGGCAGCCAUGACAUACAUUGCUAACACUGGGGUUGGUGAACCAGGAGCUACAGGCCAGUGUGGCUGUGUCACAGCUUAUUGUGAACUGACCCACUGCAACAAGGAAAAGCAUAAACAAGAAAACUGAACAGUUCAUAUCUGCAAGCGUUUUUUGUUCCAAAAACCUUCUUGGUGUUCCCAACCUCGAAUAAUUUCCUGAAGAGAAGUUGGAUGGAGGCUCUCUCUUCACAAGAUACAUGGAGAAGACAAGGAGCAAUGGAUACCAGUUGCACUGAGAGAGCUAUUCACGCACCGAAGGACUAAACAACAAAUUAUAGAAAACAACAUGCAAAUAAUUAGAAAGUGUCAAGAAAACAGCCAGCUCUCAUGAAUGAAAAAGUGCACAAGAGAAAGGCUUCAGACCCCAAAAUGUGAGUGCAACUAAACUUAAACACACGCGCGCACACACACACAAAAGGCAUAUUCCAUAAAGUGCAGGUGCAGUUGUUGAAGUGCCAGUGCACCUCUCCCUGGUGUGGCAGAGCACUGGGAUACCUUCUGCUGAGGGGCUGCUGGAGACUGCUGACUGCCUGCUCAGCAUGAUUCAGGCUGGACAACAUGAUGGAUGAGGAGGGAAGCCAUGGGAACCGGCCCAGCACCUCAACAGAAUAUUGCUGGGCUGUACUAGUGUGUCCUGCUGAGGCCACACCAGCUACUAACCCAAUGAGGAUAUCCUAUGUGAAAGCAUGGUUCUGUAAUCACAUAGCCAAGUUCAGUUUUCUGCUGCCAUUUGCUUCCCUUUCCACUGUAUCUUUGCAUCAGUUUCCUCUGGCAGCAAUGGUCCUACUUCUCCCUGAUGCCAUAACUCAGGCACUGAGUCACUCUUUGCUUCUUUCUCUCGAGGGACUUUGAACCCUGAAAGGGGAAGUCAGUAAUGACUGCUUCUGUUCUUCCAGGGGAUAAGACCCACAAAAACAGGGAAAUGGAACAUUAUUUUUCUGCUAACAUUAAAAAAAAUGGUUUUCCUCAGCUUAAUGAAUCACUGCAAGAAGAUGCUGGAGGCUUUACUUCCCAGUACUCACUGCUAUUCCUUCUUGCACUAGUGUUGCUGGUUCCUUAUUUCUCUACAUGAAAAUGCAUGGGAAGAUCAAUGACCACGUGUAAUUAGCUUACAACAAAAGUAUUGCUGCAAGAUGUUUGCUCUGCUGAGCAUUUGGAAUUCCUGCUAAAUUAAAAACUUUUCUCAGCCUUAUCCUGGCAGAGGGACAUCUGGGCCAGCACAGGCCUGAGAGUAAGGCAGGACACAUUAGAAUAAAUUACCGUAUAUAUGGUAGUACCUCCAUAAGCAUGCUUUUCCUCACUUUUAUCAGAUUGCUGCAUGACUUUGACAGUGCCUUGGGCUUAAUGCCACUAGAGGUCAUGCAAUGUACUUACUAUCUAAGCUGCUUUUGAAAAAAUGCUCUAAUACUCCACAUUUGCUAGAUGUAUUUGCAGACACUGCUUUGGCCUGCUGGAUGCCCCUGCUUUGCAUGCACGUACCAACCAUGCCACAAUAAAUCACCCUACUUUUGCUAUUGCCCAUUUAUUGUGAAUAGCACAAAACAGGGAAGGAUAAGGAACUAGGAAUAUGCAAAUAAUCUUCACGUGGAAAACAGUUUUUAUAGAAUGAAAUAUGCUAUCCAUUAGAUGUGUUUACAAAAUAAAAACGGAACUAGAAUCCAGUGUCAUAUGAAACCCUCUGUUAACAGCAGCAAAAGUACUGACCUGACUACUAUAAUGCUGAUUCUGUUAACAUACUUGCCUUUGGUUUUUCCUAUCUUUGUGAUACACCUCGAGAGAAUAUUGACUGCAUCUUGAAGCAGCUGACAACUGCUCUCCGUGUUUUGAUUUCAAGCUUUUUGGAGUAUUUCUCCUCCUUGCCUUUGGCCAGCAGCCUAACAAUCAACCAAAUAAACACCCCUUUCAAUAGCAUCCCUAUCCAGCUCCCUCUCAAAUAGGCAUGGUUUUGGGGAGCUGUCGGACUUCACAUUCUGUCAAAACAAGGCCCAAGACCCACUGUAAUUAUUAAUCUGGUAGAUGCAGAGCUGUUGUGAGAGAGAUCAACUGUUGGAGCCAACAUGUUUCCCUAUGGAGCUUCCCAUUGUCACUAAUGAAGACAUUAAAACUUGCUCAGUAGCACUGUCCUCACCAGCCUGUUUGCUUAUUCUUGGGAAAAAGAACCAGCUAUCAGUAUUACCAUUAGCUGAUCUUAUUCAGAACUUCUAUCUGAACCUCUCUCAGUGAGGUGGCCUUAGACUCAGGUUUCCACCAAGCUGUGGGGAAGUGGCCGCCCACAUGGCCUUUCAAAAAAUAUCUCCAGAUUUCCUACACAAUUUGUCAAACACUGUAAAAUGUGAUCAGUAACAGUCAAUCCAAUUGCUCAGUUUUAACAGUAAUCACAAUCUACUACAAAAUUGUUCUUACCUCUUGGAGGUAAGGGCCAUUCUCUUAUAAUUUUGCCAGUCUGGGAAACUCUGGAUAUAAGCAUUGCUACUAUAACUGAUAUUGCAUUCAUAAUUUCACCACUAAUAAUCUCAUCUCAUUUCUUCAUACAUUAAUAAUCUCAUCAAUAAGUAUAAAUAUCUGAAGGGACAGUAUAAAAAAAAAGACAGAGCCAGGGUGCCCAGUACCAGGACAGGAGACCAUGGGCACAAACUGGCACACAGGAGCUCCCUCUGAACACCAGAAGCACUCCUGCGCUGUUGUAUAAUCAGUGGAUAUACAGAUAGUGUAUA